rnacentral:lncRNA from 1 species
AAGAAAAUGGGCAGCCAUGGAUGAGAAAACAUUCGACCAAGCUUCUAUGGCCCAUCUAGGUACGGUUUUUGUCCCUUUUUUUAAUGAUUUCUACGUUUUUGGAGUCAUGGUAACUCAAUUUAGCUAUUCUGUACCUUCGUUUUCAAAAUUGUUAAAGUUUGAAAAUUUUGCCAUUGAUGAAUAUAUGUUUAUUUUGAUAAUUGAUGAUAGGAAAUGCAUCCUUGUUGUUAGAUAAACAACAUUUGUAAAGUGAUUUUUGAUAAAAAUUUCGAUUUAGGACUAAAUUGAGAAAUGUGAUAAAUUGUGUGGUAAAAGAGUGAAUAAGUGAAAUAUGUGGGCUGCUAUAAGCAUGAAAAAGGUUUGAUUAGGCAUGGUUAGUAAAGAAAUUGAAUGAAUUUCAUUUUACGAGCCUAGGGGCAAAAGUGUAAAUAUGAUAAAGUUUAGGGGUAAAAAUAUAAUUUUACCAAAAAUGUGAAAUUGACCUAAUUUGAGUUGCAUGAUGAAUAACUAAUUCAAAUGUGUUGUUAUAGAUCAAGGAAGACGAGAUUCAGACUUAGAAUAGGGGAAAAACAAAGAAUAUGACGAAUAAGUCCUUUUCACUGAUUAUGCUACCGAGGUAAGUUCGUGUGUAAAUAAUGCAACAUCACAUUAUUAUGUAUUUAAUGUUUUCAUAUAGCAAGAAUUGUAUAAUUUCUUUGUGAAUUCGGUUGAUGAUGUUCCAAUAUCGAUUUGAGAUCCCGUAUAAGACGAUACCUGGGAUAUGGCACAUCAAUUUGAGAUUUCAUGUAAGACCAUAGCUGGGCUAUUGGCAUCGACACGAGAUUUCCAAAAAUUACACCCAAAAAUUAAAAAACUCAUUUUAAACCCAAAAAUUACAACCUGAGUUUUUUAACUUGACUAUGAUACCACUAAAUGUAACACCUCAAACCCAGUCUAGAAGUUAUGAUCGGAUACUAAGCAAUUACAUCAAUCCAUUCAAAGCUUCGAUUUAAAUCAAACUUAAUGCAUGUUUCGAAAACAUAAAAUUUUGACAAAACUCCCAUAGAUGUUUAGAAAAAUCCAAAUUCAAAAACACUUAUUUAAAACCCAGAAUUCACAUUUAAAAUCAUGUGUUUUGAAAGUUCUAAUGUUAGUAGAUCAAUUCCAAUAUUAGAACAAUCAUUCAUUACAAACCAUAUAUUUUAUUUUCAAAAAAUACUUAAAUAAUUACUUAACCUUGCAGUGAAAUUUUUGAAAUUUAUUUUAGUAAUAAAAACCGAAAUCUUGAUAGCUUAUUCAUAAUAACGAGGCAUGGGAAUGAGAUAGGGUGAGUCAAAUUUUCUUUUUACCUAUUUUAAUCACAACUCGAUACUCUACGGCCAUACAUCACAGCUUGUUUGGUUCGAUGUAAUGGGUUUACCAUUACGCACCGAAUCGGUGAGCCCCACAUAUUCCAGCGUUUGGUUCGCUGUAAUGCCCAUUAUGCGCCGAAUCGGUUACGUACGUAUUCCUCCUUAUUCACCGAUUUCUAUUCCCUGCCCUUUGUUCAGUUUAGCUCCCGUUUAGCAUUCUCCUAAUUCCUAUGCCCUGUUUUACCCUCAUCUUCCCAAGCCGAAAUCCACCUCCAGAACUCUCCCUUCAAACAUCAAACAGAAUCUGCCAAGUAAAUGACCUCCACCGCUCCCGUUUCACUUUCAUUUGAUUGUUUUGUCGAACCAAACGCACCCUUCUGUUCUUCAAAUGCAGUGAGUAGGGAAGUCCAAAAACAGACUUCUAUUCUUCAAAUCCCAACAAGUAUCUCCAAAGAAACCCUCAAGAAAACCUUUCCAAUUCAAGCAAGGUAAACAUUAUCUGCCCUAACAUUUUUUUGUCACGUGUUUUCCCUUUUACGUCUAUGAUGAGAGAUUCAACAUUUCUUGAAAUUGAAUCAUGCAUUCACCUUUAAAAUGAGGUUUUAGUAAGACUUGAUUCAUCAAAUUAGUUGAAUCUCUGUUUAUAAUCGUUAAAAAUUGGCAUCUAAGGUUUCUGAAAACUAGGGCUUAAACUAGUUGAAUUGAUUCAUGAAUCCCAAUUUUCGUGAAAUAAAACUUUAAUUCAUUUGAUAAAGAAUUAGAAGUUGUAAUGGCUUGAUUCUUGAUCAUUUUUUUCAAUUUCAGCAGACAAAUCAGAAAAUCCGAGAGUCGGGGAAAAUACAGUUAAAAGCGUAUAGAAAAGAGACAAAGAGAGCUCUUCGUCUUCUUCUUCCCAAUGCUGUGUAAGAUGCUUUUAAUUGUAAAAUCAUACCCUUUAAUUGGUUAAGUUUUGUUUCAGUUUAUUGCUGGUUUGUUUCCGAAUUGUUGACCUUUUCUUUUCGUUUCAAUUUCUGUUUCUUUCUGGGAUUUAUGUUAGUGCUUUCUUUUCUAUGUACUUUCAUUUUCUUCCUUAUAUCUACUAGUGAUUCAACUUGUAGGUGAUUUUGGCUCUUUUAUAUAUAAAUUGUCAAUAGCAGUUUUAGAAUCAUUAUUUUUUGAUUUAAGAUGCUUUUUCAUUCUUAAGGAUAGGGUAUUUAUUUAUAACAUUGAUAUGAAUCGAAAUUGUAUGAUAACUUAUUUUAGCUUGUCUUGGCUUGGAAUACCCUGAAAGUUGAAAAGAGGUAAGUUUGCAUCAAUCAGAGGGUUUUUAGGACAUUCUAUUUAUGUCAAGUAACCUUCUUCUAUGUUAAAUUGUGUGAGUGCUUUGAUAUAAGCAUAUAUCCGACAUGGUUUUAGUGUGUAAAAUGGACUACUAGAUUGGUAAACAAGCAUUAGCUGCAUACCAUUAACAUGGAAAUGCUUCCUGAAGUAUGUCUGCCUCAAGUGCCUAGGUUGCCUUUUGGUAACUGCACUGUUUUAUAUUACAUGUUGUAAUUAAGAUGGUUCUGUGUCUGCUACAAGAAUGAUGUUGUCUAUGUAAUCAUCUGUGUUCAUCCUAUCAGCAUGUGGAGUUUGGUUAAAUGCUGCAUCUGUGUUCAUCCUAUCAUACUGCUCUGCUUUUUUGUGAGUGUAUCACUAGGAUUUUGGUUAAAUGACUUACAAAGCACUUACCUGAUGUGAUUCUAAAUUUUUUUUUUCUGGUUUAAAAAACAAUCCCUGCAAAGACUGAAAUUUUUUGCUUAUGGGAUUCUUGAGAGUAUUGAUGUUCCAGUUAAUUGAUGUUCAAUGUGAACUUUUGUAGGUAUUGGACUGUUAGCUACUGAUUUGCUCCAGACAUAAAUCGUUGGCAAGCUGAAGCUCUAGUUGCAAUUCAAGAGGUAUUUUAUAGUUGCAAUUCAAGUAAAUUGGACUGUUUUUUUAUGGCUUACUCCAUAGUAAUGUUUUUAUAGUUAUAUUUUGCAAGUGGUGAUGUAAUAAGUUGAUUUUUAUUGGUAUUGAAAAUUUUGAAUACGGAUAUAUGUCAAUUUUUUUAUUAAUACGGAUAUGUGUGUGUAUGUGUCUGUACAAAUGCAUGGUUGGACUGAGAUAAAAUAAAAUCAUGGAAAUAAAACUUAUUGAAAUGAAAUGCAUUUCUCGGGAAACAGUAAAACAUGUUAAUAGUACAGGAAAUCCAGUUUAAGGUACUGGUGUGAAUAAAAGCAUGAAUUAUUCCUUUAAAAUCCAAUUUUCGGUUGGAAGCAUGAAUUUUGUUUCGUCUCUGCAUUUUUUAAAUUUCGGUUUUAAAUCAUUAGUAACUAGUUUAAGUUGGACUAUAUAAAUCGAUAAUGAUUGAAAUACAUCAAAAUAAUCGAUAAUGAUUGAAAUACAUCAAAAUACAUCAAAAUGAAAUUAAAAUAUUAAAAUUUAUAUAAAUCGAUAAUGAUUGAAAUACAUCAAAAUAAUCUAAAAAUAUUGUUAUUGAAGGUAUCCUAGAUUUAAAACUGAAAUGAGUGGCAGUAUGGUAUUGCCAAGAAAACUCUUCGUUGGAAGUUAAAUGUUAUGUAGGCUUCAUAGACUUGUACUGGGAAUACAAUAUUUCACCAAUUCAUUAAAUCAUAUCUCUAAAAUCCUGAAAUCUAAUCGGUAGAUUAUAUUAAUAUGUUAGUUUAAGUACAGUAAAAUGUAAUUGCCAGUGAAGUUGAUAAUUUAUGAAUAAUAAACUUUAUUCUUAAUAAAUAUUGGUAAAUUUAUUCAUAAUUAAUAUGUUUUUUUGUUAUGAUCCAUAUCACAAUGUUUCUACCUUCUUAUUUAUUACAAGUAUAAUUAUAUGUGGUAUCGAUUAUCAAAUAGUAUUAAUUUUAGAUGAUUGAUAAAGAAAUGAAUUUCUUGUUGCAAAGAUAGUUUUAAUUUCUAUUUUGUUCUUUGUAAUGAUUCUAAAUUUGUAUUGUUCAGUUUUUUUUGAUAGUGUGUUAUUGCUUCCUCUUCUUUUUUGGAUUGUUUGACUGCUUCCUCCACUCACAGUUGAGCGUCUUCUUUUCACGCAAUCACUGUAAGUUCCUUGGCAAUUAAAUUAUUUAAGUUUACUGUACUGUUAUUGAAAUUAUGAUUGGAGAAAUGUGACCCUUUUAAAUAAAUGCAGUGAGUAGAGAGAUCAAUCCCAAGUAUCUCUAAAUAAACCCUCAAGAAAAGCUUUCCAAUUCAAUCAAGGUAAAAAUUGUCUGUCCUAACAUUCUUUCAACAUGUUUUCCCUUUUAUGUUAUUUUAUGUAUAUAGUUUGUGAAACUUUGGUGGUGUUUUUGUGUUUAUUGUAUUGUACUAAACUUGUUGAAUUAUAAUUUGAUUUCUUUUCAUUCAUCAUGUGUUAUAAUUUUAUUCUUUAUGAGUUUUUUAUUCAUGAUAUUGAACUCAAUUUUAAUUUUAUAAAGUGUUCACAUUAUGAUUCAUGAUAUUAAAGUUAAUUUUAAUUUGUUUUUUUUUCUUAAGAUAAUUAUGUCAGGUGUUCCAGAAUCAAUUGUUCCU